rnacentral:rRNA from 1 species
GUGGUAAAAGCUCCGGCGGUCAAAGAUGGGCAUGCGUGCCAUUAGUUAGUUGGUGAGGUUACGGCUCACCAAGACAACGAUGGCUAGGGGGUCUGAGAGGAUGAUCCCCCACACUGGUACUGAGACACGGACCAGACUCCUACGGGAGGCAGCAGUGAGGAAUAUUGGUCAAUGGACGCAAGUCUGAACCAGCCAUGCCGCGUGCAGGAUGAAUGCCCUAUGGGUUGUAAACUGCUUUUCUACAAGAAGAAACUUCCUGAUGUAUCAGGAACUGACGGUAUUGUAGGAAUAAGCAUCGGCUAACUCCGUGCCAGCAGCCGCGGUAAUACGGAGGAUGCAAGCGUUAUCCGGAUUCAUUGGGUUUAAAGGGUGCGUAGGCGGGGUAGUAAGUCAGUGGUGAAAGCCUGCGGCUUAACCGUAGAAUUGCCAUUGAUACUGCUAUUCUUGAGUGCAGUUGAGGUAGGCGGAAUGUGUAAUGUAGCGGUGAAAUGCUUAGAUAUUACACAGAACACCGAUUGCGUAGGCAGCUUACUAAACUGUAACUGACGCUGAGGCACGAAAGCGUGGGGAGCGAACAGGAUUAGAUACCCUGGUAGUCCACGCUGUAAACUAUGAUCACUCGCUGUUGGCGAUACAUUGUCAGCGGCUGAGCGAAAGCAUUAAGUGAUCCACCUGGGGAGUACGGCCGCAAGGUUGAAACUCAAAGGAAUUGACGGGGGCCCGCACAAGCGGUGGAACAUGUGGUUUAAUUCGAUGAUACGCGAGGAACCUUACCUGGGCUUAAAUGCAGAACGACGUACCGGGAAACUGGUACUCCCUUCGGGGCGGACUGCAAGGUGCUGCAUGGUUGUCGUCAGCUCGUGCCGUGAGGUGUCGGGUUAAGUCCCAUAACGAGCGCAACCCUCAUUGUUAGUUGCCAGCGAGUAAUGUCGGGGACUCUAACGAAACUGCCGGUGUAAACCGUGAGGAAGGUGGGGAUGACGUCAAAUCAGCACGGCCCUUAUGUCCAGGGCUACACACGUGUUACAAUGGCCAGUACAAAGGGCAGCUACCACGCGAGUGGAUGCUAAUCUCUAAAGCUGGUCUCAGUUCGGAUUGAAGUCUGCAACUCGACUUCAUGAAGCUGGAAUCGCUAGUAAUCGCGCAUCAGCCAUGGCGCGGUGAAUACGUUCCCGGG